AAACACAAGAAAUAAGAAGACCAUUUUGAGAAGAACAGAGAGUAGCCUUAAGAAAAUCCCUGUCGCAUGCACUCUGGGAUUUGGACUCAAAUCCUAAUUAUACAACUUGUACUUUGUGAAACAAUGCACUAGAAACCACAGAAUAAAUGCAUAGUCUGGAUGGACUAUGGGGAGAGGGGAAACAUGGAGCCUUACCACAGGUCCUAAGACAAGCCAAGUGCCAAGAACUGCAAAGUCUGAAGAACCUCAUUCAGAUGUGAGGUCUAUAAUGAUGACUGGAAUAGGAAAUUCGGACAGCACAAGUGGUCGCUUCUUAGGCUUCCUGCCAGAUUUUGAAAACCACUAUAACAAGUCGUUUCUGCCAAGCCCAGUGAAGAAUUUCUUGCUGCCUGUGUGA
rnacentral:lncRNA from 1 species